rfam:Glycine soja cultivar W05 scaffold599_44, whole genome shotgun sequence.
AUACUUACCUGGAUGAGGUUAAUGGGUGAUCAAGAAGGCCCAUGGCCUAGGGCAAUGACCUCCAUUGCACUUAGGAGGGGUGUUGCUUUAAGGUCUGUUCAAGUGGCAGAGCUUACAUCAUAAUUUGUGGCAAAGGGGGUCUGCAUUCGUGCCGUUCCUAC